AUUGAACGCUGGCGGCAGGCUUAACACAUGCAAGUCGAGCGGAGAGAGGUAGCUUGCUACCGAUCUUAGCGGCGGACGGGUGAGUAAUGCUUAGGAAUCUGCCUAUUAGUGGGGGACAACAUAUCGAAAGGAAUGCUAAUACCGCAUACGUCCUACGGGAGAAAGCAGGGGAUCUUCGGACCUUGCGCUAAUAGAUUAGCCUAGGUCGGAUUAGCUAGUUGGUGGGGUAAAGGCCUACCAAGGCGACGAGCUGUAGCGGGUCUGAGAGGAUGAUCCGCCACACUGGGACUGAGACACGGCCCAGACUCCUGCGGGAGGCAGCAGUGGGGAAUAUUGGACAAUGGGCGCAAGCCUGAUCCAGCCAUGCCGCGUGUGUGAAGAAGGCCUUAUGGUUGUAAAGCACUUUAAGCGAGGAGGAGGCUACUCUAGUUAAUACCUAGAGAUAGUGGACGUUACUCGCAGAAUAAGCACCGGCUAACUCUGUGCCAGCCGCCGCAGUAACAC
rnacentral:rRNA from 1 species